rnacentral:rRNA from 1 species
AGCGAACGCUGGCGGCAGGCCUAACACAUGCAAGUCGAACGAAGUCUUCGGACUUAGUGGCGGACGGGUGAGUAACACGUGGGAACGUGCCUUUAGGUUCGGAAUAACUCAGGGAAACUUGUGCUAAUACCGAAUGUGCCCUUCGGGGGAAAGAUUUAUCGCCUUUAGAGCGGCCCGCGUCUGAUUAGCUAGUUGGUGAGGUAAAGGCUCACCAAGGCUACGAUCAGUAGCUGGUCUGAGAGGAUGACCAGCCACAUUGGGACUGAGACACGGCCCAAACUCCUACGGGAGGCAGCAGUGGGGAAUCUUGCGCAAUGGGCGAAAGCCUGACGCAGCCAUGCCGCGUGGAUGAUGAAGGUCUUAGGAUUGUAAAAUCCUUUCACCGGUGAAGAUAAUGACUGUAGCCGGAGAAGAAGCCCCGGCCAACUUUGUGCCAGCAGCCGCCGUAACAC